CUCCUACCACAACAAAGUAGCGGAUACUGGACAAAGCUGAAAUUCAAGUAAAUUUGACACUCAGAUGUUACAGGGUGAUUAUUGUACUUUGUGGUGAAUGAUCAUAUUUACAAUCAUUGUGAGAAAUUAGCCCUGUUUACUAAGACUCAACUAACACCAUAUAUUUUAUUAUUAUUAUUAUUAUUAUUAUUAUUAUUAUUAUUUUGGGUGGCUCUGAUUCCCUUGGGAGGGGGUAAAUGGCUCACAACAAUUGGAACUGAAAUAUGUACUUAAUAACAUGGGACCUGAGACCACUUUGCUGGUUCUACCUGUUCUCCCAAGAUUAUGCUCUCUCCUCAGCACUGUUCUUUCUUGUUUUUUCCUUCCCUUUGGUUCCCAGUAGACUUUUUCUCCCAGGUCAGCAUGAAAACAGACCUGCAUCUAUAGCACAGAAACACAUGAUGAGUUCAUGCAGCCUCAUGCACUUCAUGUAAAAUAUCCCUGCUUUCAUGGACCCUGGUCCUCUGGCUCAGACUCUGCUCCCAGAACUGAGAGCUAUUUGCCCACCUCCAAGAGCAUUUCAUCCUUCAGGCCUGUGGGCAUCUGCAUCAAAGCCUUGCAGCUUCACCUCCCUUACAAUUUCACCAAUCCUCUCCUUUCUCUAUCUCCAACCGGCUUCUGAAGAUCAGAAACAUAGGCAUAAAUACUGCCUGAUGACCUUUCCAUUUCUUAGGAGUCCCCAUAAAGGCCUAGGAAAUAACUCCAAAAUGGGCUGAAGUUUGGAUACCUUUUGGAUUGAGACAUUGUUUCAUUUUAGGACAAAAUAAACUGUUUAAAGUUUCAUGUUCAAAUAUUGGAACCUGUAUUAUACCUCCUAAAUCAUCUCUGAAAAUAACGCAGAACAUUUUUAUGUAGAGUUAACUGCCCCUGGUGCCAGGUGAUUGUGAAUCAUGCACAGAGCCAGGCACAGCUCUGAGGUGUAAUGGCUUCCUGUGUUUGUGCCUUCAGGGCAGACAGCCAGUUACUAAGAGGGGUUUGGGGAUGGGGACAAUCAGUGUGUUCUUUGUGGGCUUCUUCUUCUUGAAUUUUGCUCCACAGGUUGGAGGUUAAAUUUCAGUCCUCCUAACUAGGCCUUAAAAGUCUGGGUAGAGCAGAUGCUCGCUGGAACCUAUGUAGGUUAUGAAGCAAGGAGCUCACUGCCUUACGUGGUCAGGAAAGGCAGGAGCAAAAGCCAGUGUGAAGGUGUAGGAGUUGGAAGGAAGUUGGAAACCAGCGCUUUGUGGCCCUUCCCUUUGAGAUUCACAAAGGAAAAUGAGAUGUCUCCUUGCUGAAAGCAAAAUGGAACCUCCUUCCUGCACAUAAGCCCUUCCUCACAGCAGGUUAUUCCAAGGGAGAAGAAGUAUGACUUCCAAAUACUGUCAAAGGAAAUAGGCAUGUCUAAAGGAGACGAGGACCACUGAGUGUGUUUUUCAUGUGUGGAACAUGUCUGCUGCACUAAACAAUUCUUGAUUAGUGAGGGAAGGGGGUAUUUACCAAUACCUCCUUCUAGCAUUCCAAUUCCCUAGUUUCUGCUACUGCUGUGUCUGAAACCACAGUGUCUUCAUCAGGAACAAACGAGGAACAAACACAAACUGCCUACAGUCCUCUCAGAGGUAUUCAAAGCACAUCAUAGAGAAGACGACGCUUGAAGAUGAGAAGGGUAAAAAAAAA